rnacentral:tRNA from 1 species
CAGGGAGACAACAAAAUGUUAAAUAUUAAUUUUGUCACCUUAGGUCGAUCGGUAUCUCACAUUCUUGAUUAUUUAAGGAUUUUAUUUCCUAAGUUUUUUCUAGGUCACACCCAUUACUUUUCCUGGGCCAUUAGCUCAGGUGGUUAGAGCGCACCCCUGAUAAGGGUGAGGUCCCUGGUUCAAGUCCAGGAUGGCCCAUAUCUCUAUGUUGGGGGUAUAGCUCAGUUGGUAGAGCGCCUGCUUUGCAAGCAGGAUGUCAGCGGUUCGAGUCCGCUUACCUCCACUGAUCACCACCUCUUCAUAAUUUAUAGAAGGGAAUUGUUUUGAGUUAUGAUCAAAUUCUGAACGAAUCUAGCUUCCUAAUUGAAUCUAUUAAGAUGCUGGACUCAUUGAAUUAAUUUCAUUGUUUUCAGAGAACCUUGACAACUGCAUAGAUUAUUUUAAAGACAAUAAGCAUCUUUAAUGAUGCAGAUUUAUUAUUUGUGCGAAUGCAUUAAAUAACAAUUCUAUUAAGCUGAUGCUUCAAUUUUUGAAGUUAUU